CUGGCGGCGUGCCUAAUACAUGCAAGUCGAGCGCGGGAAGCAGGCAGAACUCCUUCGGGAGUGAUGCCUGUGGAACGAGCGGCGGACGGGUGAGUAACACGUGGGCAACCUGCCUGUAAGACUGGGAUAACCCCGGGAAACCGGGGCUAAUACCGGAUAACACUUUUUGGUACAUGCCAAGAAGUUGAAAGGCGGCCUUUUUGGCUGUCAUUUACA
rnacentral:rRNA from 1 species